UGGGGAAUAUUGCACAAUGGGCGAAAGCCUGAUGCAGCGACGCCGCGUGAGGGAUGACGGCCUUCGGGUUGUAAACCUCUUUCAGUAGGGACGAAGCGCAAGUGACGGUACCUGCAGAAGAAGCACCGGCUAACUACGUGCCAGCAGCCGCGGUAAUACGUAGGGUGCGAGCGUUGUCCGGAAUUACUGGGCGUAAAGAGCUCGUAGGCGGUUUGUCACGUCGUCUGUGAAAUCCUAGGGCUUAGCCCUGGACGUGCAGGCGAUACGGGCUGACUUGAGUACUACAGGAGAGACUGGAAUUUCUGGUGUAGCGGUGGAAUGCACAGAUGUCAGGAAGAACACCGAUGGCGAAGGCAGGUCUCUGGGUAGUAACUGACGCUGAGGAGCGAAAGCAUGGGUAGCGAACAGG
rnacentral:rRNA from 1 species